CACGUAGGGGGCAAGCGUUGUCCGGAUUAUUGGGCGUAAAGAGCUCGUAGGUGGUUCGGUAAGUCGGGGUGUUAAACCCCCAGGCUCAACCUGGGGACGCCACUCGAUACUGCUGUGACUAGAGUCCGGUAGGGAGCGUGGAAUUCCUGGUGUAGCGGUGAAAUGCGCAGAUAUCAGGAGGAACACCAGCGGCGAAGGCGGCGCUCUGGGCCGGUACUGACACUGAGGAGCGAAAGCGUGGGUAGCAAACAGG
rnacentral:rRNA from 1 species